AGAAUGAACGCUGGCGGCGCGCCUAAUACAUGCAAGUCGAGCGAGAAGACGUAGCAAUACGUUUGUAAAGCGGCGAACGGGUGAGGAAUACAUGGGUAACCUACCCUCGAGUGGGGAAUAACUAGCCGAAAGGUUAGCUAAUACCGCGUACGCUUCUUGGACUUCGGUUCAGGGAGGAAAGCGAUGCCAAGGGUAUCGCGCUCUUGGAUGGGCUCAUGUCCUAUCAGCUUGUUGGUGAGGUAACGGCUCACCAAGGCUUCGACGGGUAGCUGGUCUGAGAGGACGAUCAGCCACACUGGCACUGCGACACGGGCCAGACUCCGUACGGGAGGCAGCAGUAAGGAAUAUUGCGCAAGUGGGACGAAAGCCUGACGCAGCGACGCCGCGGUGGGGAUGGAAGGUCUUCGGUAUUCGGUAAACCCCGUUUCGGGAGG
rnacentral:rRNA from 1 species